CCUAACACAUGCAAGUCGAACGGUAACAGGAAGAAGCUUGCUUCUUUGCUGACGAGUGGCGGACGGGUGAGUAAUGUCUGGGAAACUGCCUGAUGGAGGGGGAUAACUACUGGAAACGGUAGCUAAUACCGCAUAACGUCGCAAGACCAAAGAGGGGGACCUUCGGGCCUCUUGCCAUCGGAUGUGCCCAGAUGGGAUUAGCUAGUAGGUGGGGUAACGGCUCACCUAGGCGACGAUCCCUAGCUGGUCUGAGAGGAUGACCAGCCACACUGGAACUGAGACACGGUCCAGACUCCUACGGGAGGCAGCAGUGGGGAAUAUUGCACAAUGGGCGCAAGCCUGAUGCAGCCAUGCCGCGUGUAUGAAGAGGGCCUUCGGGUUGUAAAGUACUUUCAGCGGGGAGGAAGGGAGUAAAGUUAAUACCUUUGCUCAUCGACGUUACCCGCAGAAGAAGCACCGGCUAACUCCGUGCCAGCA
rnacentral:rRNA from 1 species